rnacentral:rRNA from 1 species
ACAAAGAAGAGUUUGAUCCUGGCUCAGGAUGAACGCUAGCGGCAGGCUUAACACAUGCAAGUCGAGG